GGUGAUACUUCUGAGUAUGAAACAAUCCAGCCAGCCUCUAACAAUAGGAGGCCUGUUAACCCAGAGGACGAUCACAUUUACACAAAUUUGAACAACAGAAAACAAAGAAUCCAUUGAAUGCUAAAAGUCACUAUAGUGAGAAGAAAACAACAAGGAAAGUGGAAUCCUGCUGCAGUUUAUUCUGAAAUCUGAUCAGGAAUGAUUUCAAAAUGCCUGUCAGCUUUCUGGUGGUUCAGAUUGAACUGAACUGAGUUUUUAUAAUAGCAACAUAAAAAAAAAAUCCCACAUCCUCAAAUGUUUCUAACGUUCUUUAAAAAUGCAGCACUUCUCAUGUUUAUAGCUGUUCUCUGAACAAGAAAAUCCAUUUCUAUGCUUUGUGUAAAGAUAUAUUAUUAGCACUGUUUAUUUUAUUUGCAUCCAGAAAAAAAACAUAUUCCUUAGAUAUAAAAAUAUUUUUAUGUAUU